rnacentral:rRNA from 1 species
GACGAACGCUGGCGGCGUGCUUAACACAUGCAAGUCGAACGGUGAAAGCGGAGCUUGCUCCGCUGGAUCAGUGGCGAACGGGUGAGUAACACGUGGGCAACCUGCCCCUCACUUCGGGAUAACUCCGGGAAACCGGGGCUAAUACCGGAUAUGACCUCCUUGGGCAUCCUUGGAGGUGGAAAGUUUUUCGGUGAGGGAUGGGCCCGCGGCCUAUCAGCUUGUUGGUGAGGUAGUGGCUCACCAAGGCGACGACGGGUAGCCGGCCUGAGAGGGCGGCCGGCCAAACUGGAACUGGGAAACGACCCAGACUCCAGGGGGAGGCAGCAGUGUGGCAUAUUGCACAAUGGGCGAAAGCCUGACGCAGCAACGCGGCGUGCGGGAUGACGGCCUUCGGGUUGUAAACCGCUUUCAGCAGGGAAGAAGCCGCAAGGUGACGGUACCUGCAGAAGAAGCACCGGCUAACUACGUGCCAGCAGCCGCGGUAA